rnacentral:rRNA from 1 species
AAGGUUAAGCCUCACGGUUCAUUAGUACCGGUUAGCUCAACGCAUCGCUGCGCUUACACACCCGGCCUAUCAACGUCGUCGUCUUCAACGUUCCUUCAGGACCCUUAAAGGGUCAGGGAGAACUCAUCUCGGGGCAAGUUUCGUGCUUAGAUGCUUUCAGCACUUAUCUCUUCCGCAUUUAGCUACCGGGCAGUGCCAUUGGCAUGACAACCCGAACACCAGUGAUGCGUCCACUCCGGUCCUCUCGUACUAGGAGCAGCCCCCCUCAGUUCUCCAGCGCCCACGGCAGAUAGGGACCGAACUGUCUCACGACGUUCUAAACCCAGCUCGCGUACCACUUUAAAUGGCGAACAGCCAUACCCUUGGGACCUACUUCAGCCCCAGGAUGUGAUGAGCCGACAUCGAGGUGCCAAACACCGCCGUCGAUAUGAACUCUUGGGCGGUAUCAGCCUGUUAUCCCCGGAGUACCUUUUAUCCGUUGAGCGAUGGCCCUUCCAUUCAGAACCACCGGAUCACUAUGACCUGCUUUCGCACCUGCUCGCGCCGUCACGCUCGCAGUCAAGCUGGCUUAUGCCAUUGCACUAACCUCCUGAUGUCCGACCAGGAUUAGCCAACCUUCGUGCUCCUCCGUUACUCUUUAGGAGGAGACCGCCCCAGUCAAACUACCCACCAGACACUGUCCGCAACCCGGAUUACGGGCCCACGUUAGAACAUCAAACAUUAAAGGGUGGUAUUUCAAGGUCGGCUCCAUGCAGACUGGCGUCCACACUUCAAAGCCUCCCACCUAUCCUACACAUCAAGGCUCAAUGUUCAGUGUCAAGCUAUAGUAAAGGUUCACGGGGUCUUUCCGUCUUGCCGCGGGUACACUGCAUCUUCACAGCGAGUUCAAUUUCACUGAGUCUCGGGUGGAGACAGCCUGGCCAUCAUUACGCCAUUCGUGCAGGUCGGAACUUACCCGACAAGGAAUUUCGCUACCUUAGGACCGUUAUAGUUACGGCCGCCGUUUACCGGGGCUUCGAUCAAGAGCUUCGCGUUACCGCUAACCCCAUCAAUUAACCUUCCGGCACCGGGCAGGCGUCACACCGUAUACGUCCACUUUCGUGUUUGCACAGUGCUGUGUUUUUAAUAAACAGUUGCAGCCAGCUGGUAUCUUCGACUGAUUUCAGCUCCACGAGCAAGUCGCUUCACCUACAUAUCAGCGUGCCUUCUCCCGAAGUUACGGCACCAUUUUGCCUAGUUCCUUCACCCGAGUUCUCCCAAGCGCCUUGGUAUUCUCUACCUGACCACCUGUGUCGGUUUGGGGUACGAUUUGAUGUUACCUGAUGCUUAGAGGCUUUUCCUGGAAGCAGGGCAUUUGUCGCUUCAGCACCGUAGUGCCUCGUCAUCACGCCUCAGCCUUGAUUUUCCGGAUUUGCCUGGAAAACCAGCCUACACGCUUAAACCGGGACAACCGUCGCCCGGCCAACAUAGCCUUCUCCGUCCCCCCUUCGCAGUAACACCAAGUACAGGAAUAUUAACCUGUUUCCCAUCGACUACGCCUUUCGGCCUCGCCUUAGGGGUCGACUCACCCUGCCCCGAUUAACGUUGGACAGGAACCCUUGGUCUUCCGGCGAGCGGGCUUUUCACCCGCUUUAUCGUUACUUAUGUCAGCAUUCGCACUUCUGAUACCUCCAGCAACCCUCACAGGCCACCUUCACAGGCUUACAGAACGCUCCCCUACCCAACAACACAUAGUGUCGCUGCCGCAGCUUCGGUGCAUGGUUUAGCCCCGUUACAUCUUCCGCGCAGGCCGACUCGACCAGUGAGCUAUUACGCUUUCUUUAAAUGAUGGCUGCUUCUAAGCCAACAUCCUGGCUGUCUGGGCCUUCCCACAUCGUUUCCCACUUAACCAUGACUUUGGGACCUUAGCUGGCGGUCUGGGUUGUUUCCCUCUUCACGACGGACGUUAGCACCCGCCGUGUGUCUCCCGUGAUAACAUUCUCCGGUAUUCGCAGUUUGCAUCGGGUUGGUAAGUCGGGAUGACCCCCUUGCCGAAACAGUGCUCUACCCCCGGAGAUGAAUUCACGAGGCGCUACCUAAAUAGCUUUCGGGGAGAACCAGCUAUCUCCCGGUUUGAUUGGCCUUUCACCCCCAGCCACAAGUCAUCCGCUAAUUUUUCAACAUUAGUCGGUUCGGUCCUCCAGUUAGUGUUACCCAACCUUCAACCUGCCCAUGGCUAGAUCACCGGGUUUCGGGUCUAUACCCUGCAACUUAACGCCCAGUUAAGACUCGGUUUCCCUUCGGCUCCCCUAUUCGGUUAACCUUGCUACAGAAUAUAAGUCGCUGACCCAUUAUACAAAAGGUACGCAGUCACCCCAUUAAGAGGCUCCCACUGCUUGUACGUACACGGUUUCAGGUUCUUUUUCACUCCCCUCGCCGGGGUUCUUUUCGCCUUUCCCUCACGGUACUGGUUCACUAUCGGUCAGUCAGGAGUAUUUAGCCUUGGAGGAUGGUCCCCCCAUAUUCAGACAGGAUACCACGUGUCCCGCCCUACUCAUCGAGCUCACAAUAUGUGCAUUUUUGUGUACGGGGCUGUCACCCUGUAUCGCGCGCCUUUCCAGACGCUUCCACUAACACACACACUGAUUCAGGCUCUGGGCUCCUCCCCGUUCGCUCGCCGCUACUGGGGGAAUCUCGGUUGAUUUCUUUUCCUCGGGGUACUUAGAUGUUUCAGUUCCCCCGGUUCGCCUCAUUAACCUAUGGAUUCAGUUAAUGAUAGUGUGACGAAACACACUGGGUUUCCCCAUUCGGAAAUCGCCGGUUAUAACGGUUCAUAUCACCUCACCGACGCUUAUCGCAGAUUAGCACGUCCUUCAUCGCCUCUGACUGCCAGGGCAUCCACCGUGUACGCUUAGUCGCUUAA